AGUAGAAAAGCUGCUGUCACAGCUGAUCAGAAUGGUCUCUUUUAAAAAUCAUUACUUUCUUCUCUUGUGUUUUGGUUAACUAGAGCCACCAUCCCUCACCCCCAAAGGAGAACAAACAAAGGACAAAGUUCGGCCCUGAAAAGACAGCAUCCAGCUGGCAGUCCCAGAUCCAUCCUCCACCUGCACUCCCGGCCCGGGUGCCAAGCUGGCUAAGGUGAUGAGGUCCCAGUAUAAUUACGCGGGCAGCUUCCGAGCUGCCUCUGGGAUCCCUCACACCAUUCGGCAGCUCACUGGUUGCCACACUGCUGGCUCCUCUGAAUGCUAUUUCCUGUCUUAGCAGCUUGAUUUCGCUACAACGUGCACAUACUUUACCACUCAUGAAUAAUGCCCUGGUUCAAAUCUGUCACAGGAUGCAGUAUAUUUUGGAAGCCACUUAACGGCAAAGGUGAGUGAUUUGCCUGAGCUCAUAUAUAUUUUCAGAGUCCUACUUCCCACGGGUUUUCUAAACGCCACCCGUGGCUCACAGUCUUUGCCUUGUUGUCACAGUGUUAUCAUUUAACAUGUAUCAAGUAUGCACCAUGUGUCCAGUGCGCUAGCAAAUGAAUAGAAACAGAAUGUUCCUGCCAAGUUGAUUUAUCAUCUAACCAGAGUGAGCAAGAGAAGAAACAAACAGUGGGAGGUGUCCCACUCACGCCGAGGUCAGCCCGCGGUAAAACCGGGCCAGACCUCUUUGCGGCACAGCCUUUUGUUGCCGCCCACAGACAGCUGCUUCUCCAAGGGAGACUAUUGUGGGAUGCAGGAAAAGGCCACGGGCUCAGAUGAGGACAAGGCCCCUGCUGGAGCACAGUCAUGUUGACAGGCCAAUGAUGAUCCGUCAUCCUCCUUGUGUUUACACGAGGGAUUAAAUAAAUAAACAGACUGUCCAGCUGCU
rnacentral:lncRNA from 1 species